rnacentral:rRNA from 1 species
CAGUGAGGAAUAUUGCGCAAUGGGGGAAACCCUGACGCAGCGACGCCGCGUGGGUGAGGAAGGCUUUCGGGUCGUUAAACCCUGUCAGAAGGGAAGAAAUGUUUAUAGGCUAAUACCUUGUAAGUUUGACGGUACCUUCAAAGGAAGCACCGGCUAACUCCGUGCCAGCAGCCGCGGUAAUACGGAGGGUGCAAGCGUUGUUCGGAAUCACUGGGCGUAAAGGGCGCGUAGGCGGCUUGGCAAGUCAGAUGUGAAAGCCCACGGCUUAACCGUGGAAGUGCAUUUGAAACUGCUUGGCUUGAGUAUCAGAGGGGAAAGUGGAAUUCCCGGUGUAGAGGUGAAAUUCGUAGAUAUCGGGAGGAAUACCGGUGGCGAAGGCGACUUUCUGGCUGAAUACUGACGCUGAGGCGCGAAAGCGUGGGGAGCAAACAGGAUUAGAUACCCUGGUAGUCCACGCCGUAAACGAUGUCAACUAGGUGCAGGGGGUGUUGAUCCCCUCUGUGUCGCAGCUAACGCAUUAAGUUGACCGCCUGGGGAGUACGGUCGCAAGAUUAAAACUCAAAGGAAUUGACGG